AACAACACCUCCAUACUACAACAGACAGGAAGAGAGGUCACAGUGGAUAACAACACCUCCAUACUACAACAGACAGGAAGAGAGGUCACAGUGGAUAACAACACCUCCAUACUACAACAGACAGGAAGAGAGGUCACAGUGGAUAACAACACCUCCAUACUACAACAGACAGGAAGAGAGGUCACAGUGGAUAACAACAUCUCCAUACUACAACAGACAGGAAGAGAGGUCACAGUGGAUAACAACACCUCCAUACUACAACAGACAGGAAGAGAGGUCACAGUGAAUAACAACACCUCCAUACUACAACAGACAGGAAGAGAGGUCACAGUGAAUAACAACACCUCCAUA